GACGAACCGUGCGAACGUUAUUCGGAAUCACUGGGCUUAAAGCGCGUGUAGGCGGGUCGGGACGUCGGUCGCUGAAAUCCCCCGGCUCAACCGGGGAAGGGGCGCCGAUACGGCCGGCCCUGGAGGGAGCGUAGGGGGGGCUGGAACUUCCGGUGGAGCGGUGAAAUGCGUUGAGAUCGGAAGGAACGCCCGUGGCGAAAGCGAGCCCCUGGACGUCUACGUGACGCUGACGACGCGAAAAGCCAGGGGGAGCCGAACGGGGAGUUAGAAACC
rnacentral:rRNA from 1 species